GGGAGUAACUAUGACUCUCU
rnacentral:ncRNA from 2 species